rnacentral:rRNA from 1 species
CACACGACUCUCGGCAACGGAUAUCUCGGCUCUCGCAUCGAUGAAGAACGUAGCGAAAUGCGAUACCUGGUGUGAAUUGCAGAAUCCCGCGAACCAUCGAGUCUUUGAACGCAAGUUGCGCCCGAGGCCASUUGGCCGAGGGCACGCCUGCCUGGGCGUCACGC